rnacentral:rRNA from 1 species
GAUCCUGGCUCAGAUUGAACGCUGGCGGCAUGCUUUACACAUGCAAGUCGAACGGUAACAGGUCUUCGGAUGCUGACGAGUGGCGAACGGGUGAGUAAUGCAUCGGAACGUGCCCAGUCGUGGGGGAUAACGCAGCGAAAAGCUGUGCUAAUACCGCAUACGAUCUAUGGAUGGAAAGCGGGGGACCGUAAGGCCUCGCGCGAUUGGAGCGGCCGAUGUCAGAUUAGCUAGUUGGUGGGGUAAAGGCCCACCAAGGCGACGAUCUGUAGCUGGUCUGAGAGGACGACCAGCCACACUGGGACUGAGACACGGCCCAGACUCCUACGGGAGGCAGCAGUGGGGAAUUUUGGACAAUGGGCGCAAGCCUGAUCCAGCAAUGCCGCGUGCAGGAAGAAGGCCUUCGGGUUGUAAACUGCUUUUGUACGGAACGAAAAGGUCCGGGUUAAUACCCUGGGCUCAUGACGGUACCGUAAGAAUAAGCACCGGCUAACUACGUG